rnacentral:rRNA from 1 species
AAGUGGCGAACGGGUGAGUAAUACAUAAGCAACCUACCCACCGAAGACUGGGAUAAUCUCUGGAAACGGGGACUAAUACCGGAUAGGUAAUCGGAAGGCAUCUUCUGAUUAUUAAAGGUUAAAAACACUGGUGGAUGGGCUUAUGGCGCAUUAGUUAGUUGGUGAGGUAACGGCCCACCAAGACGAUGAUGCGUAGCCGGCCUGAGAGGGUGAACGGCCACAUUGGGACUGAGACACGGCCCAG